rfam:Hordeum vulgare subsp. vulgare, WGS project CAJW01000000 data, contig: morex_contig_175123
UUAGUACUCCCUCCGUCCCAAAAUUCUUGUCUUAACUUUGUUUAGAAAUGGAUAUAUCUAAAUACUAAAACAAAUCUAAGACAAGAAUUUUGGGACGGAGGGAGUAUUAU